GUGGGGAAUUUUGGACAAUGGGGGCAACCCUGAUCCAGCGACGCCGCGUGAGUGAUGAAGGCCUUCGGGUCGUAAAGCUCUGUUGCAGGGGAAGAACACAAUGACGGUACCCUGCUAGAAAGGAUCGGCUAACUUCGUGCCAGCAGCCGCGGUAAGACGAGGGAUCCUAGCGUUGUUCGGAAUUAUUGGGCGUAAAGCGGGUGCAGGUGGCUUGGUAAGUCAGAUGUGAAAGCCUGGGGCUUAACCCCAGAAGUGCAUUUGAUACUGCUGAGCUUGAGUGCUGGAGAGGCUAUUAGAAUUCCUGGUGUAGUGGUGAAAUACGUAGAUAUCAACAGGAAUACCGGAGGCGAAGGCGGGUAACUGGCCGAACACUGACACUGAGAUCCGAAAGCGUGGGGAUCAAACAGGAUUAGAAACCCUAGUAGUCC
rnacentral:rRNA from 1 species